rnacentral:lncRNA from 1 species
AAUGAGAAAUCCAGGCGCUUCAUAAGAGACUGUACAAAUAACUUCUAGGGCGCCACUAACUCAUUCAGCAGAAAGGGACCCAGGGCUGCCAAUGUUUCAGGGAAGAUAAGUGAGUGGAAAAAAGGUGGUUUUUAUAGCGUCAGGCGGACCGAAGGAUUUGCGUGGUUGAGCGUGAACUCCGCCCCUGCAGCAGAGCUGAAAAAAACCAGGAUCCGGGUUCCUCAGCCCCUUUUCACAAUAUUUGAUUAGGAAUUUGGGGCGGGACCCUGGUCUGGCACAGGCACGCACACUCUCAGUAGACUCUUUCACUCCUCUCUCUCUUCCUCUCUCACACGUUCUCCAACCCAAGGAGGCCAGACAGAGGGACGUGGUCACUCUCUGAAAAGUUCAACUUGAGAGUUCUCCAUCAGCAGCUUCUGCACCGUGGUGGACGUCGUGAACUUCUCCAAGCUGCAGGUGCUGCGCCUGGACGGGAACGAGAUCAAGCGCAGCGCCAUGCCUGCCGACGCGCCCCUCUGCCUGCGCCUUGCCAGCCUCAUCGAGAUCUGAGCAGCCCUGGCACCGGGUACUGGGCGGAGAGCCCCCGUGGCAUUUGGCUUGAUGGUUUGGUUUGGCUUUUGCUGGAAGGUCCAGGAUGGACCAUGUGACAGAAGUCCACGGGCACCCUCUGUAGUCUUCUUUCCUGUAGGUGGGGUUAGGGGGGGCGAUCAGGGACAGGCAGCCUUCUGCUGAGGACAUAGGCAGAAGCUCACUCUUUUCCAGGGACAGAAGUGGUGGUAGAUGGAAGGAUCCCUGGAUGUUCCAACCCCAUAAAUCUCACGGCUCUUAAGUUCUUCCCAAUGAUCUGAGGUCAUGGAACUUCAAAAGUGGCAUGGGCAAUAGUAUAUAACCAUACUUUUCUAACAAUCCCUGGCUGUCUGUGAGCAGCACUUGACAGCUCUCCCUCUGUGCUGGGCUGGUCGUGCAGUUACUCUGGGCUCCCAUUUGUUGCUUCUCAAAAUAUACCUCUUGCCCAGCUGCCUCUUCUGAAAUCCACUUCACCCACUCCACUUUCCUCCACAGAUGCCUCUUCUGUGCCUUAAGCAGAGUCAGGAGACCCCAAGGCAUGUGAGCAUCUGCCCAGCAACCUGUGGAGACAACCCACACUGUGUCUGAGGGUGAAAGGACACCAGGAGUCACUUCUAUACCUCCCUAACCUCACCCCUGGAAAGCCACCAGAUUGGAGGUCACCAGCAUGAUGAUAAUAUUCAUGACCUGAUGUGGGAGGAGACAGCCAACCUCAGGCUUAGAUCAAUGUAUAGGGCUAUAUUUUGGCAGCUGGGUAGCUCUUUGAAGGUGGAUAAGACUUCAGAAGAGGAAAGGCCAGACUUUGCUUACCAUCAGCAUCUGCAAUGGGCCAAACACACCUCAAAUUGGCUGAGUUGAGAAAGCAGCCCCAGUAGUUCCAUUCUUGCCCAGCACUUUCUGCAUUCCAAACAGCAUCCUACCUGGGUUUUUAUCCACAAAGGUAGCGGCCACAUGGUUUUUAAAGUAUGAGAAACACAGUUUGUCCUCUCCUUUUAUCCAAGCAGGAAGAUUCUAUAUCCUGAUGGUAGAGACAGACUCCAGGCAGCCCUGGACUUGCUAGCCCAAAGAAGGAGGAUGUGGUUAAUCUGUUUCACCUGGUUUGUCCUAAGGCCAUAGUUAAAAAGUACCAGCUCUGGCUGGGGUCCGUGAAGCCCAGGCCAGGCAGCCAAAUCUUGCCUGUGCUGGGCAUACAACCCUCUGCUUUCACAUCUCUGAGCUAUAUCCUCAUUAGUGAAGGUGGCUUUUGCUUUAUAGUUUGGCUGGGGAGCACUUAAUUCUUCCCAUUUCAAAAGGUAAUGUUGCCUGGGGCUUAACCCACCUGCCCUUUGGGCAAGGUUGGGACAAAGCCAUCUGGGCAGUCAGGGGCAAGGACUGUUGGAGGAGAGUUAGCCCAAGUAUAGGCUCUGCCCAGAUGCCAUCACAUCCCUGAUACUGUGUAUGCUUUGAAGCACCUUCCCUGAGAAGGGAAGAGGGGAUCUUUGGACUACGUUCUUGGCUCCAGACCUGGAAUCCACAAAAGCCAAACCAGCUCAUUUCAACAAAGGAGCUCCGAUGUGAGGGGCAAGGCUGCCCCCUGCCCCAGGGCUCUUCAGAAAGCAUCUGCAUGUGAACACCAUCAUGCCUUUAUAAAGGAUCCUUAUUACAGGAAAAGCAUGAGUGGUGGCUAACCUGACCAAUAAAGUUAUUUUAUGAUUGCAUCUACAA